ACAAGGGAUCCAUGGAAAGAGCAUUCCCAGAAGGGGGGCCAGGGCAGUGCGCACAGUGAGGAGAGCAGGUGUGUGCGAGCAAUGUCAGUGAAGACUGAAAACAGAACGUGGAGAGAGAUGUAGCUUACUAGAGCCCUGUGGCUUCAAUCCCCACCAGGAAUGUCGUUUAAGAGGAAGGACAUAUCACACACCAACCGUGUGCAAAGCACUCUACCUAAAGAUCAGCGCUAACAGAGGAAUAAGCAGAGGCCUCCAGGAGCAAAGAGUGAAAAGUCUGGCAAGGCUUCAAGUACGGGGGAAGUGGGUGGAGCUUUCACCGUAGAAUCUUUCCUAGAGAAAAAGCAAAGAGUGGGGCAACAAUAAAGGCAUUAAAAAUAACUGUCAAGUUGAAGAAAAAGUAUUUUGCCAAAGACUGAGGAUUCGGAUAUGACUACGGAAAGAGCAUGAUGUUGUUC
rnacentral:lncRNA from 1 species